GGCUACACACGUGCUACAAUGGGUAGUACAGAGAGUCGCAAAGCCGCGAGGUGGAGCUAAUCUCAGAAAACUAUUCUUAGUUCGGAUUGUACUCUGCAACUCGAGUACAUGAAGUUGGAAUCGCUAGUAAUCGCGAAUCAGCAAUGUCGCGGUGAAUACGUUCUCGGGUCUUGUACACACCGCCCGUCACACCACGAGAGUUGGUUGCACCUGAAGUAGCAGGCCUAACCGUAAGGAGGGAUGCUCCGAGGGUGUGAUUAGCGAUUGGGGUGAAGUCGUAACAAGGUAUCCGUACGGGAGCGU
rnacentral:rRNA from 1 species